GGAGGAGGUCGAGCAACCGCCCGCCACGGCGUGGCGGGAGGAAAGUCCGGACUCCGCAGGGCAGGGUGGCCGCUAACGACGGCCCCGAGCGAUCGGGGGAAAGUGCCACAGAAAGGAGUCCGCCCCGGACCAGUGGUCCGGAGCAAGGGUGAAACGGCGAGGUAAGAGCUCGCCAGGUCCGCCCGUGAGGGCGGGCUUCGGUAAACCCCACCCGGAGCAAGACCGCGUAGGAGGGAGGCCUGGCCUUUUGGCCUGGCGCGGAUGGCCCGUCCGUUCCCUCGGGUCGGUCGCUCGAUCCCCCGGGUAACCGGGGGGCCAGACGAAUGGUUGCUGCUCCCGCGAUCUGGGCGGGAGAACAGAAUCCGGCUUACAGACCUCCUCCGGCG
rnacentral:RNase_P_RNA from 1 species